rnacentral:lncRNA from 1 species
UAGUAGAGAGCUGACUUUAGAGGGAUCAAGAAUAGCUUGCUGGAUGGAAGGAGCUUGGGGCCAGUCAUCAUCUUAAAGGCUCUGUGGCAGCUUGGACUUGAAGUAGGGUGCACCCGGAAUUGACCAAUACAAACAGUGGACUGCACUGGAUUCUUCUUGUGCCCUGUCUCAUAUCCUCUUGUCCCACCUUUUCAUAACAGCCAUUGCCAUGGGAACCAGCUGCAUCCAGGAUAUUCUCAUGCUGGCUCUUCCAUCUGCUGCUUCUCAGAAACUCUAUCCCUGACAAGCUCUUGAUCUGUUUACUCACUUCGUCUCCCUGAUUGACUCCUCUUCCUUUGCUCUUUGUCCAAUGUAUUGUCAAUGUCAUCAGACCUUGCAAAGUGCCUGUGAAGUAGUCAUCAUC